rnacentral:rRNA from 1 species
UACGUAGGGUGCGAGCGUUGUCCGGAAUUAUUGGGCGUAAAGAGCUUGUAGGCGGUUUGUCGCGUCUGCUGUGAAAUUUCGGGGCUCAACCCCGAACUUGCAGUGGGUACGGGCAAACUAGAGUGUUGCAGGGGAGACUGGAAUUCCUGGUGUAGCGGUGAAAUGCGCAGAUAUCAGGAGGAACACCGGUGGCGAAGGCGGGUCUCUGGGCAACAACUGACGCUGAGGAGCGAAAGCGUGGGGAGCGAACAGG